rnacentral:sRNA from 1 species
UCUGUUCGAGAAGUGGCGGAUGUAGGU